AAGACGAGAAGACCCCGUGAAGUUAGGAAUGCCUGCCAUAACGUGAAAUCCCUAUAACAGAUGUUAUUAGCAAUAUAAAUAUGCAAGGCUUGGGGUUCUUGUGUAGAAUUGUCGUUGGGAAGAAUGGUCAGUGCGUUUUGGCUGGGGCAGCAAAGAGGCAAAACUAGCCCUCUUUAUUCGAAAAACGGAUGCGUUACGACCCACAGGAAUGUAUGUUGUGACUAGCAGAAUGAGUUACUCCGGGGAUAACAGCGUAGUCCGCCUCGAUAGUUCGUAUAGACGGGCGGGUUCGCGACCUCGAUGUUG
rnacentral:rRNA from 1 species